CUCCAAUCCUCCAGUACAACACCUGAAACAAAAGAAUCUUGAAAAAUGAAAUACAGAGGUUCACUUAUUUCCCUACUUAGCUCCUUAAGUACUCGUGGGUGAAUACCGUCAGGCCCCGGUGCUUUAUUUACAUUAAUUUUCUUUAAUAGCUGUAGCACCUUGUCUUGAGUUAUCCAAUCACAAGUUUUUUGCAGCAAUCAUUUGCAUAUCUCUUGCCAUAGGAUCC